GUCCACGCCCUAAACGAUGCGAACUGGAUGUUGGGUGCAAUUUGGCACGCAGUAUCGAAGCUAACGCGUUAAGUUCGCCGCCUGGGGAGUACGGUCGCAAGACUGAAACUCAAAGGAAUUGACGGGGGCCCGCACAAGCGGUGGAGUAUGUGGUUUAAUUCGAUGCAACGCGAAGAACCUUACCUGGCCUUGACAUGCACGGAACUUUCCAGAGAUGGAUUGGUGCCUUCGGGAACCGUGACACAGGUGCUGCAUGGCUGUCGU
rnacentral:rRNA from 1 species